rnacentral:siRNA from 1 species
AUUUGUGAUGAUGAUGUUGUUGAG